GCGGGAGUGGAGAAAUGGCAGCACUCGAGGUCCUUAAAAGACCUUGCUCGAAAGAGCGUGCGGGUUCGAGUCCCGCCUCCCGCA
rnacentral:tRNA from 1 species